rnacentral:tRNA from 1 species
GCCUGUGUAGCUCAGUGGCAGAGCACUGGUCUUGUAAGUCAGGGGUCGUGAGUUCAAUCCUCAGAGGAGGCG